UCUUGCUGGAGAUCCCUGACUACCUGAGGCCUUCCAAAGUAUUGGACACAGAAGAAUGUGCACAAUAGCUCUUUGGUCCAACCCAGCAUGGGUGUUAUUUCUCCAUAAGAUCCUGUUCUCUUCAACAAGAGCAGAAGGGGCACUUCUACCUUUCCCUCACACUUCGUGGUAAAUGAGAUUAGACAAUGGUUUGCAUGUCACGCCAGGCAAGCUCUGCGCUCAGACUUGGGUCUCACUGCGGGACGUGAACAAAUCAUCAGCAAGAGCCCAGGCACAGCUCAGGCAGCACCACGGUGCCGGUACCAGCGGGCUCCGGUCUCACCCGUUCUCCCUUUCAGCCGCCCAAGGCGUCAAACAGCCCGUUUCUGCGGCCGCGCUGCCCUGGGGCGGCUCCCGGGGCUGGGCGGUACGGUGCAGCCUGG